rnacentral:rRNA from 1 species
CCCUUAGAUGUUCUGGGCCGCACGCGCGCUACACUGAUGCAUUCAACGAGCCUAUCCUUGACCGACAGGUCCGGGUAAUCUUUGAAUCUGCAUCGUGACGGGGAUAGAUUAUUGCAAUUAUUAAUCUUCAACGAGGAAUGCCUAGUAGGCGCAAGUCAUCAGCUUGCGUCGAUUACGUCCCUGCCCUUUGUACACACCGCCCGUCGCUCCUACCGAUUGGGUGUGCUGGUGAAAUGUUCGGAUCGGCCGUUUGUCGCGGUUUCCGCGUCAUGUGGCUGAGAAGUUCAUUAAACCCGACCACCUAGAGGAAGGAGAAGUCGUAACA